GUGGGCUUUGAGGUCUCAUGCUCAAGUCAUGUGCAGAGAGACAGACCACUUCCUGUUUCCUGUGAGAUAUAGAACUGUCAGCUCCUUCUCCAGUACCUUGUCCGCCUGCAUGCUGCCAGUCCCACCUUGAUGAUAGUGGACUGAACCUCUGAAAAUAUUUUUCCUUCUGAGAGCAACACUGUGGGGCUGGGAGUUGUCUGGGAAACAAGGACAAGAGCCGAGAAUACAUAGAGAGCAUCCUCCACCAUGUCCCCCCUCCUGGGAGGUGGGGCAGGCUAGAGUAGACCCAGCCUGUCUGCAGCAUCAUUUUGUCUCUAGAUAGAUGGCAUCAUCUUGCUGGUCACAGUGGUCAGGUCCAGUCUGCACAAUGAACACAGGCCAGAAGGAACAGACAGGGACAGAACUCCUGGGCUGGAGAAGCAGCUCUGCCUGGGAAACCCAGGAAGGAGGAGAGCUCCUCAAAGAGGCUUCGGGUGGAGGAUAGACUGGGGGUGGAGGACAGGGCAUUUCAGGCAGAGCCCUCAAGGUCAUGGCCAUCCCACAGUGGGACCCAAGGUCCACACAGAAAUUCGUCCUCUGGCCAUUUCUUCAUUGUAGCCCACAUUUCACUUGAGCCUUCUGCGUUACACACACACACACACACACACAUACACACACACACACACACACACACACACACACACACACACACUUCCAAACCUAAUUGGGCAUGCCCGCUGGUCCCUCCUUUAAGGCCUGCAAGAACAGUGUGGCUGGGGGCUUGGUAUGAAGCCUUAUUAUUGAGUUCACAAAUUCAACUUUCAGAGAUCUGCCCAAACAAGGGAUUUGUAACAGUUUCAAACAGGGCAAGCCGACUACAUUUCCCAUGACAAUCAGCUUGUUUACCACCCCAAGGUACACUUGAACCGCUGUUGACAUCCUCAUUUGCAUGCCAAUACCCAGAAUGCUUUUCUAGCCCUACAGCGUUAGGCUUCUGCCAGUGAGCUAAACGGUUUAUUUACACAUACAAUACCUGACAGCUUCCUCUCUGAAGCAUCUUUCAUACCCCCAAAGUCUUAAGUUGAUGAAAGAAUUUCAAACUUCUGUUCAAGUUCUAGCACCCUUCUUUCUGGGCUAGAGCUAACAUCAAUUCUGCAUGACCAAAUUAACAUUUUAAUUAAAAGAUACUCGAAGAGAAGGGGGUUUCUGUUAUUUAGCAAAUGUCAUGUUAAGCUUGAUACACUGGGGCAUGGUUGUGAAGAGAAAUCACGUAGCCACACAAAGAACCCCAGGAUACUGGCUGAUCAUCACCAGAGGGCCUUGAACUGGGUAACAUCAUUUUAACUGGAAUUCUAUCCAACUAUGACCUAAGUUUGUGUGUGUGUGUGUGUGUGUGUGUGUGUGUGUGUGUGUGUGUGUUGGUUUUUCGAGACAGGGUUUUUCUGUGAAUACCCUGACUGUCCUGAAACUCACUCUGUAGACCAGGCUGGCCUCCAACUCAGAGCUCCGAAUGCCUCCACGUGUUGUGCCAUAGCUGCCUGACCAGGAUGGUAUUAAGGGACAUUGGAGCUGUGGGUGUGACUCAGUGGUAGAGCAGUUGCUUAACACACACAAGACCUUGGGUUUGGUCCUCAGCACUGCAAAGAUACAGCCAUUGGACAAAUGGCAUAGGAGGUAGAACCACACAUAGCCACUGCCUGCAUUUGCCAAUUUUAAGAGUAUAAUAAUAACAAGGUGUGAACUGAAAGCCAGGGUGGUGACACAUCCUGUAAUCCCAGUGCUGAGGAAAAGGCAGGAGGUCUAAGAACCUCAGUUAUGUGGAGAGUUCAAGGUCAUCCGGAGCUGCACAGGGAGGCCUUGUCUCAAAAACCAACCCAACAAAAACAGUUGUGAACUAAUGCUGUUGACAGUGACUAGAUGUGGGUUCCUUGGCAUUUUGUUCCCAAAGUCAGAUUUGCCUAUAUAAAGUAAGAAAGUGUGAGCUGGGCAGUGGUGACUCACACCUUUAAUCCCAGCACCUGGGAGGCAGAGGUAGGUGGAUCUCUGUUAGUUUGAGCCUGGUCUACAGAAUGAGUUCUAGGACAGCCAGGGCAACUCAGAGAACACUGUCUCAAAACAAAACAAAACAAAUAAAAAGAAAUUGUGAAUUGGGAGGCAGAGGCAGGCAGAGCUCUAUGAAUUCAAGCCAGCCAGGGCAGCAUAGUGAAACCCUAUCUGAAAAAAAGAAAAUAUUUUAAUUAUAAUAUUUUAUAAUAAAAAAGAGAUUAUGACUGUGCUCAACGCAACUUUAAAAAUGGCUUAUAGUUUUUUUAUCACGUUCUCAAAAUUUUUGCUUUUGCUUUGAGACAGGGUCUUGGUGUGUAGCCCUGGCUAGCCUUGGAACCCAAGGAAAGUCCUCUAGAUGGGGUGGUAUGUGUGCCCUUUCAGAUCUAGCAAGUGUUUCACUUACUGGCUGAUUGAGUUUGUGUUUGAGUUUCUGAGGUCAGAUCUUACUAUGUAGCCCAGGCUAGCCUCAAAUUCUUGACUCUCUUCCAGCUUAGUUACCCAAAUGCUGGGAAUACAGGAAACAGCAUCGCUGGCUAAUAUUAGAUUAUUUUAAAAUGUUUUUUUGUAGCUAUUAGGCUUUAAUAUUGGGUAGUUGAAGGGAAGGGCAUGAUGUCAGGGUUUCUGAGACUAUGAAACUGAGUGGGCACCCAGGCUGUGGCUCACAGAGUUAGUCUUAAAUUUUCCUUUGUAAAUUUUAGUGCUAGAAAUGGGGCCCAGGUCCUUGUACACAAUGCACCACUGAGCCCACCUGCAGCCAGAAGCAGUAGUUGAGUACAUUUGAGAACAUGGCCCUGGAAUGGAGCUGAGAGCCCCUCAGCCUCUGUGCCCCCUCCCUUCACUUGGAUCCUGCUUCUUAUAGUCAUUAGAAGGAGUAAGACAGGGGUUCAGAGAUACUGCCACAAUGGCUCAGUGGUUAAGAGCACUGACAGCCCUUAAAGAGGACUCAGGUUCUGUUCCCAGCCUCCACAUAGCAGCUGACAUCCACCUUUAGCUGCAGUUCCAAGGGAUCUGAUGCCACUUUUAGUCUUUUGCAGGCACCAGGCAUACACACACACAGAAAAAACACCUGAAUGCAUAAAAUGAUCAUUUUCUUAAAACAUCAAUUUGGAUCAUACUUAGGACACUGCCUCAGCCCCUCUCAAACUUUUUGGUCUCAGGGAUGCUAACACUCCGAAAAGUGCUGAGGACUCCAAACCUUCUCAUCACUGAAAUGUAUGUGUUUUAGAGAUGAAACCGCCCUGGGGAAUCAGAGACAGGAGGGUAAAGAGUUUGGGGCUACCUGGUCUAUAAACCCAAAUAAAAUCAAAUAGAAAGCCCCCAACAUAUUUACAAUAUCAUUAUAUGUUUACAAUAAUCAUGCAGGUUAUUACUAUUGUGCAGAGGGGCACCCAUCUCAUGGUGAAUGUGUGGAGUCAGAGCACAGCUGAGUGAAUCCAUGUAUAACAUGGAUGGCCACUCAAAAGGUCACAGCCCACACAGGAUGAUAUGCAUGGCUUCUCAGUACAAACGGGGAGGAAGGCUGUCACCACUGCCCAGAGAGCUGGGGUGUGCCAAGGAGAGGUGGGUCCUGCCCCAGCUGUGACCCUGGAUCAUCUCUGGAUGGUGACUCCUGUCCUGUCAUCACUGAUGGUGCAAGUUUUCGUUCCACCUAGUUCUGCAGCCCUUUAGUCCCAAAUAAACACACAGAGGCUUAUAUUAAUUAUAAAUUGUUUGGCUGAUGGCUCAGGCUUCUUAUUGGCUAGCUCUCUCUUAGUUAUUAACCCAUUCCUAUUAAACUAUGUAUUGCCACGAGGCUGUGGCUUACCCUUAAUGUUCCGACACGUUACUCCUUCGGCGGCUACAUGGCAUCUCCCCAUCAACUCUCUGUUUUCCUUUUCCCAGCAUUCCUAGUCUGGUAGUCCCACCUAUACUUCCUGCCUGGCUACUGUCCAAUCAGCAUUUAUUCACCAACCAAUAAGAGAAACAUAUAUUCACAGCAUACAGAAGGAUACCCCCAUCAUCACGCUUACCCAGAUGCCUCAAGGAGCCCUGAACAGAGAAGUUUAUGUGAAUUUGACUUAUCCACCCACCUAUCAGGACACAACUGGUUUCCAGGAGGAAUCUGUUGCUUCCCACAGCCUAAUCACCAACCUGUGCAGGUU
ensembl:lncRNA